GACGAACGCUGGCGGCGUGCUUAACACAUGCAAGUCGAACGGAAAGGCCCUGCUUUUGUGGGGUGCUCGAGUGGCGAACGGGUGAGUAACACGUGAGUAACCUGCCCUUGACUUUGGGAUAACUUCAGGAAACUGGGGCUAAUACCGGAUAGGAGCUCCUGCUGCAUGGUGGGGGUUGGAAAGUUUCGGCGGUUGGGGAUGGACUCGCGGCUUAUCAGCUUGUUGGUGGGGUAGUGGCUUACCAAGGCUUUGACGGGUAGCCGGCCUGAGAGGGUGAACGGCCACAUUGGGACUGAGAUACGGCCCAGACUCCUACGGGAGGCAGCAGUGGGGAAUAUUGCACAAUGGGCGGAAGCCUGAUGCAGCAACGCCGUGUGCGGGAUGACGGCCUUCGGUUUGUAAACCGCUUUCGCCUGUGACGAAGCGUGAGUGACGGUAAUGGGUAAAGAAGCACCGGCUAACUACGUG
rnacentral:rRNA from 1 species